UAUGUUCCAGUCUUUCUAUUAGAUCACCAUGCUUAAGCCCAGACACUUUCAAAAGAUUGUAGCUGGCCAGGAAAAUCUGUUUGCUGGAAUGGGAAAAGCUUUGGAGUCCCAUUUGAAUCACUGCCUUCUGAACUGACACUGGGUGCAGGUGCCACUGGAGAAGACAUGUUAGGCUAAGAAAGGUUUGAGCUGAGGAAUCAGUGGCAUUUUACUGUCUACUGCUUAAAAAUCCUAGAUGGAGAGCAAGGCCAUCAACUCAUGGCCACCAUGUGGAAGCAGAAGGCAGCUCCUGACAGGCCUUGCACACAAAUUGAGUGUGAAAUGAAAAACCCUCCCAGGUUACCUGCACUGAAAGUGCCAGGUGACUUCACAAGCUUCACUCUUUAGCUACAAUCCACCUGCUGCAGCACAAUUCCUGCAGUGCAUGAGCAGGAGACAGACCCUGGGCACUGCUGCAAUAUUCCCUGCAAUGCUUCUGCUUUUCUGCUUCUCAUUUUGUGGAUUCCCACUUUAGAUACAUUCAC